GACAGAGGCCCCAAGCGUUAGGCGGAAUCACUGGGCUUAAAGCGCGUGUAGGCGGACGCCUAAGUGUCUUGUGAAAUCCCACGGCUCACCCGUGGAACUGCUGGGCAUACUGGGCGUCUUGGGCCAACUAGGGGCAGCCGGAACAAGCGGUGGAGCGGUGAAAUGCGUAGAUAUCGCUUGGAACGCCGAAGGUGAAAACAGGCUGCUGGGGUUGCGCCGACGCUGAGACACGAAAGCCAGGGGAGCAAACGGG
rnacentral:rRNA from 1 species